rnacentral:rRNA from 1 species
UCCCGACGGUCCGAGUCGCAGCCACAUUUAUUGGGUCUAAAACAUUCGUAGCUUGUCCGGAAAGUUCCUUGUGAAAUCUUGCAUCUUAAGUGCAAGGCGUGCAAGGAAUACUUCCGAACUUGGGACCGGUAGAAGCAAGAAGUAUGGCCAAGGUAGUGAUAAAAUACGUUAAUCUUGGCCAGACUAACAACAGCGAAGGCAUCUUGCUAGCACGGAUCUGACAGUGAGGAAUGUAGGCUAGGGGC